AGAGUUUGAUCAUGGCUCAGAGCGAACGCUAGCGGCAGGCUUAAUACAUGCAAGUCGAGGGGCAGCAUGACCGUAGCAAUACGGUUGAUGGCGACCGGCAAACGGGUGCGGAACACGUACACAACCUUCCUUUAAGCGGGGAAUAGCCCGGGGAAACCCGGAUUAAUACCCCAUAGCAUGGUGAAGAGGCAUCUCUUUACUCUUAAAGAUUUAUCACUUAAAGAUGGGUGUGCGGCUGAUUAGCUAGUUGGCGGGGUAACGGCCCACCAAGGCAACGAUCAGUAACUGGUGUGAGAGCACGACCAGUCACACGGGCACUGAGACACGGGCCCGACUCCUACGGGAGGCAGCAGUAAGGAAUAUUGGUCAAUGGACGAAAGUCUGAACCAGCCAUGCCGCGUGGAGGAUGAAGGUCCUCUGGAUUGUAAACUUCUUUUAUCUGGGACGAAAAAAGGUUUUUCUAGACCGACUGACGGUACCAGAUGAAUAAGCACCGGCUAACUCCGUGCCAGCAGCCGCGGUAAUACGGAGGGUGCAAGCGUUAUCCGGAUUCACUGGGUUUAAAGGGUGCGUAGGUGGAUUGGUAAGUCAGUGGUGAAAUCUCCGGGCUUAACCCGGAAACUGCCAUUGAUACUAUCAAUCUUGAAUACCGUGGAGGUCAGUAGAAUAUGUCAUGUAGCGGUGAAAUGCUUAGAUAUGACAUAGAAUACCAAUUGCGAAGGCAGCUGGCUACACGAAUAUUGACACUCAGGCACGAAAGCGUGGGGAUCAAACAGGAUUAGAUACCCUAGUAGUCC
rnacentral:rRNA from 1 species